CUGCUUACAUGUUGCUCUGUGAGAAAGAGGGGGCGUUCCAGGCUGCCUACACAUUGCUCUGUGAGAAAGAGGGGGCUGCCUACACAUUGCUCUGUGAGAGGUUGCCUACACUUUGCACAGAUCAUUAAGUAAUUGAUGGGGUUCCUGCAAUGUUAAACACUACUCUCUUUCACAUUUGUAGCUAUCUUAGUUCAAUCAGAUCUGUAUCAACAUGUCUGUAAUGUAAACAACCUGGAAUGCCACCAGACUGUAGGCAGGUACCAAUACCAUCUACCACAAUGGACCAAGUAAAACAAUCCACUUGACAUACAGUAGAUCAUUAUAGUUCAUCUCAUACUGCAGAAUUACAGUAGAUUAUGGUUGUAUGAUAAAAUUACUUUAGAUUAAGGCAAUUAUUUUCCUCUACACGUUAUUCAUACUAUGCAUGUGUCACAUCAUGAUAAUAAGCCAAUCAGACUCUACGAUGCAUGUGUCACAUCAUGAUAAUAAGCCAAUCAGACCAUACUAUGCAUGUGUCACAUCAUGAUAAUAAGCCAAUCAGACUCUACGAUGCAUGUGUCACGUCAUGAUAAUAAGCCAAUCAGACUCUACGAUGCAUGUGUCACAUCAUGAUAAUAAGCCAAUCAGACAGAUGUAAAAUAAAUACAGAAGUUUUUUUUUUAUCAGUAAUGAGUCAGUACAGUAGUCCUAAGUUGUGAGAAUUGGAGACCUAGGAAACCAGACCAAUGCUGUGGGUCAAGUGGGACGAUAAGAGUGAAUGAGAUCAUGAGACGAAAGGGAAAUCUAAGCAAAUUAAAUAUUCCAACCAAAAUACAUGUGGUACUACCCAACAAACAUAAGUCCCUUUCAGACAAUCACAGUGCAUUAUGGGAACUGGUAUGCUGCUUACUUCACUGAUUGGUUGAUUGUUUUUCUCGGUAGGCAGCGCAUGCAAGGCAUAGUAGUGCUGGAAGCAUGAGUUAGUUAUAUCAGUGUAUUACAAGCAGAGGGGUGGGGAGAGGUAGCCUGCGUAUCACUGUUUCUGCUAUCAUACCACUCCUUUUCAUGCCAAUGCUUGACAAUGACACAGAGUACAACGAGUGGAAUGUCAGCACAAAACUAGGUCUGGAAUUCAGGCUAAGGGAGAGGGUGUAGUAGGUAGAACCAAGGUUAGGUGAGGGAGGUUUUAAAUGAGUGUUCAUUGAAUCUUUAUGAAGUAAAGAAAAUGGGGUCGGUUCUCAAACAAUACAUUAACUGUUUGAAAUAAUAGUGCACAAAACAUGUCAUUACAAAGCAAAGACAACAUUCUUCUUCGCAUGUUUUUUAUCCUUUGGAAGUUUGAAACAUUGAUUUGGUAUAGGAUAUUUAUGACAUAAAUCAGUGUUUCCCAACUCCAGUCCUCCAGUACCCACAACAGUACACAUUUCUAUUGUAGCCCUGGACAAGCACACCUGAUUCAACUUGUCAACUAAUCAUCAAGCCCUCGAUGAGCUGAAUCAGGUGUGUUUGUCCGGGGCUACAACGUGUGCUGUUGGGGGUACUGGAGGACCAGAGGAGGGAAACUGACAAAUGUUGGACCUGUCCUAAACUUUAUACAACACAGGAUAUCUACGUUUUAGUUUAAAACAUUUCCUUUUUUUAAUAUCAUAAAUAACAAUGAUCGUUCUUCAAAUAUUGUCUGAAUAAAUCAAAUAAAAACAUUAACUUGGCUUCCUUUUCCUUGUGGUGAAUAAGACUGCUACAAUCACAUGAUGAGGAAUGUCUGUCUGUAGUGAAUAAGACUGCUACAAUCACAUGAUAAGGACUGUCUGUCUGUA
ensembl:lncRNA